CACACACACACACACACACACACACACACACACACACUUUACAUUCAGGGUGAGAGUGUGGACUGCUGGUGUGGUGCAUCUCUUAUUUUUUUGCUAUAUAUUUCAAGUGCAAACCGUUUUGUUCCUCUCGGCGGUUGAUUUUGGGGAAGACCUCGCCAUAUAUUUAAGGCAUAAAACUUUAUUUCUUUUGACAGACAAGGACGAGGAUCUCUGGAUGACGGUGUUAAACUCUAAUAAUAAAGGAGGAAGUGAGGCAGGGCAGUCAGCAAGGGCACCUCAGGUCUACGUGGCUCAGUUUCUACUUCCGUACACUCGACGAGGCAUUUCCUUUAACACCAGAUCCUGGCGCAUCACUGAAGGUCGGGUGACCAAAUAUGGUCAAAUCUGGUGCUCUCUGACACCCCAAAAUACUAUAUAUACCUGGCGGUCCUAAGUCUGGCAUCAGACGAACUCACAUUCACAUCUCGCGAUGAACAUUCUUUCCUUCCUCUUGGCGCUGGUGAUGGCCGCAUCCGCCGUGCUGGCCAGCAAGAAGGGCGGUUUUGGUGGCCUCCGACCUCAACCUGUCUUUGUGCAACCCGUCUUCCAUCCCGUAGGAUUUGGAGGAGGAUUUGGCAAAGGAUUUGGUGGAGGAUUUGGAGGAGGAUUUGGCAAAGGAUUUGGUGGAGGAUUUGGAGGAGGAUUUAGAAGAGGAUUUGGCGGUGGAUUCGGCAAAAAGGGCAAAGGCUUCAAAGGCUGAAAUCCCCGCAAAGACGUUGGUUCAGCUGCUGCUUCUGCGGGUACUGUAGCCACGUGAUUCUGUUUCGCUAGUCGCCGCCGCCAACCUUGUUACCAGCAUGCCUUGCCGUGAUGGAUGCUGGCACUUUGUCCAUACAUUUUUAUAAGAAAUAAAGGAUUGUAAAGAAG